AUCAAGCAGAAGCAAAGGCAUCAUGUAGUUGGAUGUGUCGUCUUUAAUGUUUCUUAAUUUGUGAAGAUGCAGUCAAGAGAAAAAAUUAAUAACUUCUAUUUGCAAGAAAUACUUACUGAUGUUACAAAGAAACUUGCUGAUCUUUUUAUCCAAAAGUGGAACACUUAUUACAAAAAAUCUCUCGGAGAAUGGGAAAA